rnacentral:rRNA from 1 species
GAUGAACGCUAGCUACAGGCUUAACACAUGCAAGUCGAGGGGCAGCAUGGUCUUAGCUUGCUAAGGCCGAUGGCGACCGGCGCACGGGUGAGUAACACGUAUCCAACCUGCCGUCUACUCUUGGACAGCCUUCUGAAAGGAAGAUUAAUACAAGAUGGCAUCAUGAGUCCACAUGUUCACAUGAUUAAAGGUAUUCCGGUAGACGAUGGGGAUGCGUUCCAUUAGAUAGUAGGCGGGGUAACGGCCCACCUAGUCUUCGAUGGAUAGGGGUUCUGAGAGGAAGGUCCCCCACAUUGGAACUGAGACACGGUCCAAACUCCUACGGGAGGCAGCAGUGAGGAAUAUUGGUCAAUGGGCGAGAGCCUGAACCAGCCAAGUAGCGUGAAGGAUGACUGCCCUAUGGGUUGUAAACUUCUUUUAUAAAGGAAUAAAGUCGGGUAUGGAUACCCGUUUGCAUGUACUUUAUGAAUAAGGAUCGGCUAACUCCGUGCCAGCAGCCGCGGUAAUACGGAGGAUCCGAGCGUUAUCCGGAUUUAUUGGGUUUAAAGGGAGCGUAGAUGGAUGUUUAAGUCAGUUGUGAAAGUUUGCGGCUCAACCGUAAAAUUGCAGUUGAUACUGGAUAUCUUGAGUGCAGUUGAGGCAGGCGGAAUUCGUGGUGUAGCGGUGAAAUGCUUAGAUAUCACGAAGAACUCCGAUUGCGAAGGCAGCCUGCUAAGCUGCAACUGACAUUGAGGCUCGAAAGUGUGGGUAUCAAACAGGAUUAGAUACCCUGGUAGUCCACACGGUAAACGAUGAAUACUCGCUGUUUGCGAUAUACAGCAAGCGGCCAAGCGAAAGCGUUAAGUAUUCCACCUGGGGAGUACGCCGGCAACGGUGAAGCUCAAAGGAAUUGACGGGGGCCCGCACAAGCGGAGGAACAUGUGGUUUAAUUCGAUGAUACGCGAGGAACCUUACCCGGGCUUAAAUUGCAGAUGAAUUACGGUGAAAGCCGUAAGCCGCAGGGCAUCUGUGAAGGUGCUGCAUGGUUGUCGUCAGCUCGUGCCGUGAGGUGUCGGCUUAAGUGCCAUAACGAGCGCAACCCUUGUUGUCAGUUACUAACAGGUUCCGCUGAGGACUCUGACAAGACUGCCAUCGUAAGAUGUGAGGAAGGUGGGGAUGACGUCAAAUCAGCACGGCCCUUACGUCCGGGGCUACACACGUGUUACAAUGGGGGGUACAGAGGGCCGCUACCACGCGAGUGGAUGCCAAUCCCAAAAACCUCUCUCAGUUCGGACUGGAGUCUGCAACCCGACUCCACGAAGCUGGAUUCGCUAGUAAUCGCGCAUCAGCCACGGCGCGGUGAAUACGUUCCCGGGCCU